ACAGAAUGGUGACAUGGACAAGGCAUAGACCGGGCAUCGACUGGACUGGCGACUAGCAAAACUGGGUGUGGGUUCAAUGGGCAAAGCUGACUGUGGUUGCUCUGGCCAGCCGUAUAAGGCAUUGAUUUAUGCUUAGCCCUGAGCAAGAAGGCUUUGUCGGUGAUGUCGGUGAUCGACUAUUAGUGAUCAAAUCAUUUUCAUUUUCCUGUUUUCAAAUCGCCAAAAUCUGCAGUUCAAUAAACCUCGACUUCCACUCGAUUGUGCUGUCAAUUAAACGUUCUUUUCAGCGAUGACUGUGCCUUGCAGCUUCGAGGACAAGUUCAUUAAUUCAUAUGAAUACGAAUACGAAAACGAAUAGGAAUACGAAUACAAAUAUGAUUGCAAAUGCGCUAACGAUGCUGUGACUAUUUUUUAUGGUUCUUAAUGUUUGCUAAUUUCGUGUCGAGUUUUAAUAGUGACAACACGCCUUCGAUAUGUAUAGAUGCUGACUACAAGAACAACAGUUAUUCACGCUUAAACAAAGAGAAGCCGCUGAGCACAAAAAUUAUUGUACCCAAAAUUUAAAUGAGCCAAGACCACAAUGCGAGAGAGAGAGAGAGAGAGAGAGAGAGAGAGAGAGAGAGACUGGAACUUCAACUAAGAGAGACAGAGAGAGGCUUUUGGCUCAAUCUGUUGACUUUUUGUGGUGUGGGCGUUGAGGCGAACAAAAUUGACGCUGAUUGCAAAUGCCAAGCAGAUGAGCCAGCUGGAAAUCAGCUGCAAAAAAGAAGACGCCAACAAAUACUAAUUGACAUUUGGUAAGCCGGAGUUUGAGGAAUUCGGGGAUUGGGAAUUUCACCUCCCAGCAACAAAGUUCCAGAUUGUCAGCACUCUGUGAAAUGGCAAGAAAAUGAUUAGCUAAUUCAUUUUUGUUGCCUCUAUUUUAUAGAACAACUUGUUUCUAGGGCGUGUGUGUUUGUACUUUUGCGUCUUUUCUUAAUAUAGUUUAUCACAUUUAGUCUGCAUUAAUUCGUUU